GCGGCCGUGGUCGAGUGGUUAAGGUGUCUGACCAGAAAUCAGAUUCCCUAUGAGAGCGUAGGUUCGAGUCCUACCGACCGCG
rnacentral:tRNA from 1 species